UUUACAUUUUUUUCCCAAAUUGUCCACAUUCACGCUCAAAGAAGAGACACCCAUCUCUUCAGAAAGCCUGUUGUCCGGGGGUUGCCUCCCUAGAGGCCCUAGAACACAGCCGGUGCCUGACCUGCAAAUGCUCCCCCUGCCAAAAGGCUCUGCUAGAGAAGAGCCAGAUGGCCAAGGCCACCUCCCUCCCUGUGUAAACAUCUGUCACCCAGCAGAGUAAACAGGCCUCCCUGGGUAAGAGGAGCCCCCAUGCUGCUUCUGUGUGGUGUAGCCCAGAAACAAGGAGCCUCAGCCAGGGGCUCUGCACAGGGGCUCUGUCUUCAAUCUGGGCCCCCAAGCAACAGGGUCAUCUGUUUUGGCUCCUUCUCUGUGUAAACAGGGCUGGCAGCCCAUGUGGUUUGAGGACGGCCAGGCCCUGCUCUCCCUCCUCCCCACGCAAACACAUUACAAAGAAUCUUUGUAACUGUCCAGCAGAGUGGCCCAGCCCAGAGGAAGGGAGCCUGCAUCCGGGAGGGGGUGAGGGGAGAGAGACGUGCUGGAGGGUGGCAAGCGGAGGUGGCCGAGGGACGGUACCCAGCAACUCCCCAUACUGUAUGAUGCGGGGGCAUCAGCGUUGCUGUGUCUAACCACCAGAGGAAAGGGUCUGUCCCCUGCAGCAGAAACCAGGGAGGGAAUGAGGGCUGAUAUCCCGCAGUUCCAACACCUUUUUCAAAAAAAGGACUAAGCCUGGGGUCCCUGGGUGGGACUAAGCCCUCCAGCUCAGGAUAGAAGAAAGAGUAUUACUUGGAAGGUUGAGAAAACAGAUUAUAUUCCUGCCUCCACCCUGCAAUGAGCUGUGUGCCCUUUGGAUGGUGCCUUAACCUCUCUGAGAUUCCUUGUCUGGAUAAAUUAGAAUCAUACUCUCUGCCAUUCGUUGAGCUCCCUCCAUAGGACAGGGACUUCAGGUAUGUUAGUCUAUUAAUGCACACAGCUAUCCAGCAAGGUCGGAGUGGUUACUCCCACUUUCCAGAUAAAGAAAGUGAGACUCGGCAAGCAGAAGGGACUUGCACAAAAAAACACACCAAGUGGCAGAAGGACCUCUUCUCUGUGCCGAACUCCAUCCUGCCCCUGCAACUCAGAAAGGCAACAGCACCCGGAAGCAAAGCACAGGAGGAAAGCUGAAUUCAGCAAGCGGUGGGCCACUUGAGGACAGCACACACCCUUCUUCCCUCCUGGCAGCUCAGGUAGGCUCCGUGCCCAACGUGAGGCUUGAUCUCAUCACCCCAAGAUCGAGAGUUGCCACUGACUAAGCCAAGCAGGCACUCCACACCUGCAUUUUUUUUUUUUUUUAAGAUUUUAUUUAUUUAUUUUAGUUGGGGGAGGGGCAGUGGGAGAGGGAGAAAGAAUCCCAAGCCAACUCCUCAAUGAGCACAUGAAGCCCAGCUCGAGGGCUCUACCCUGCUACUGAGAUCACGACCUGAGCCAAAAUCAAGAGUCGGAUGCUUAACCGACUGAACCACCCAGGCCUCCCAGCUCCUUUUAUUUUAAACGAUCUUCCCAGUUCUACUGGAACAUAACUGACACAUUGUAUUAGUUUAAGUUGUAGGAUGUAAUGAUUUGAUAAAUGUAUAUAUUGCAAAAUAGUCACUGCAAUAAGUUAACAUUCACCACCAUACAUAGUUACAAAAUUUUUUUUCUUAUGAUAAGAACUUUUAAGAUUGACUCUCUCAACAACUUUCAAAUAUACAAUACAGUAUUGCUAACUAGAGGCACCAUACUGAACAUUACACUGCCAGAAAUUGCCUUAUAAUUGGAAGUUUGUACCUUUUGACCACCUUUACUCAUUUUCCUCAAUCUCUAAGCCUCUGGCGAUCACCAAUCUGUUCUGUUUCUAGAUUUUUUUUUUAGAUUUGUUUCUAGAUCUGUUUCUGUUCUUUUUUUUAGAUUUUACAUGUAAGUAAGAUCAUAAAUAUGUCUUUCUGCGUGUGACUUGUUUCAUUUAACAUAAUGACUCAAUGUCCAGUUGUAUUGUUGCAAACAGGAUUUCCUUC